rnacentral:rRNA from 1 species
GGAUCCAGACUUUGAUUAUGGCUCAGGAUGAACGCUGGCGGCGUGCUUAACACAUGCAAGUCGAACGAAGCACUUAUCUUUGAUUCUUUGGAUGAAGAGGUUUGUGACUGAGUGGCGGACGGGUGAGUAACGCGUGGGUAACCUGCCUCAUACAGGGGGAUAACAGUUAGAAAUGACUGCUAAUACCGCAUAAGACCACGGAGCCGCAUGGUUCAGUGGGAAAAACUCCGGUGGUAUGAGAUGGACCCGCGUCUGAUUAGGUAGUUGGUGGGGUAACGGCCUACCAAGCCAACGAUCAGUAGCCGACCUGAGAGGGUGACCGGCCACAUUGGGACUGAGACACGGCCCAAACUCCUAC